AUAGAAUUUACUAUUGAAGAAGAAAAGCCAAGGUCAAGGUUUUAUUCUUGUAGCGUAUAUCAUUUCCUCACUUCCACUUCAAAUUUAACUGCAGAUGCUCAAAUUUCAUGAUUUGUGUAGAUCCCUCAAACAUGUCCACCUGAUGCUGGCUGACUAACUGACUAUAAUAAAUAACAGUAUACCGAGGAUUUGGAUUCUGAUGGAGAUAAAAUUGGUCGCUUUUGAGGCACCUAUCCUUUGGCACGCAGUUGAUAGGUUAUAAUAGUAGGCUCUGUAAUCCGGAAAAGAAACUGCUAGAACUUCAUCAAAAGGAAAGCUGCUCAAAGAGCCCAACUCUGGCAUCUGAUUACUAGCACCCGUAAACUGAGGAGGUAGUUUGAAGAAUUGCUUGCUCCUGUAAGGUCUUGCUGCGGUACUGGAUGUUGUUCUUUCCACCUUUUUAUUUAUUUAUUUAUCUUUGGUUUUGUAAUCUAUCCUUUCUAGAUGGUAAAAGAAAAUAGAAUUUUGUACUAUACGGCUUUAGACCUAAUCUUCCGUGAGAGUCAAAGUUAUAGUGUAGGAAGACAGGUAGCAUUAGAGAUGAGAUGACCCCUGUAAACUCUCAUUUAUUUAAAUCAAAUAUCAUUCUUUUAAAAUUUAUGUA